AAAGUCGUAACAAGGUUUCCGUAGGUGAACCUGCGGAAGGAUCAUUAACACGUUUACCACGUAUUAACAAACUUCGUGAACUUUUUUGUCAUGGUCAGUUUUCUCUGGGUGUGGCAGGAAACCAAGGUGAUUCUUGGUAGAUCGCUGCUCUUGGGGGUGACUGAUCGUAAGAUUAUGCGGUUUGAGUUAUGCAGUCGACUACCCGUUGAACCACACGUUCUGUGUACGUAGACGGUCCCGUCUGUAAUCACUCCGCACGAAAUCACUGAACUAAUAUCACCCUUUGUCAAGCCUCUACGAUUUAGCGGUUCCGCUUUCGUAGUUGUUUGAUGUUACUUACUUAUUUUCUUUGUUAUGAAGGACUGCAAACCGUGGACCUCACGGCUAGCUUUUCUUUAAUACAAACUCUGUACAACUCUUAGCAACGGAUAUCUUGGUUUCC
rnacentral:misc_RNA from 1 species